rnacentral:misc_RNA from 1 species
AGCAGCCGCGGUAAUUCCAGCUCCAAUAGCGUAUAUUAAAGUUGUUGCAGUUAAAAAGCUCGUAGUUGAAUUUCGGGAUCAAUUAGUCGGUCGUGCCUCUGGUACGUACUGGUUUUAUUGGUUCCUCCCUUCUGACGAAACAUGAUGUCAUUAAUUUGGUGUCGUGGAGAAUCAGGACUGUUACCUUGAAAAAAUUAGAGUGUUUAUAGCAGGCUAACGCUUGAAUACAUUAGCAUGGAAUAAUGAAAUAGGACGUUCGACCCUAUUUUGUUGGUUUCUAGGAUCGACGUAAUGAUUAAUAGGGAUAGUUGGGGGCAUUAGUAUUCAAUUGUCAGAGGUGAAAUUCUUGGAUUUAUUGAAGACUAACUACUGCGAAAGCAUUUGCCAAGGAUGUUUUCAUUAAUCAAGAACGAAAGUUAGGGGAUCGAAGACGAUCAGAUACCGUCGUAGUCUUAACCAUAAACUAUGCCGACUAGGGAUCGGAUGAUGUUAAUUUUUUUAAUGACUCAUUCGGCGCCUU